GGGCUGCUAGCUCAAUGGCAGAGCAACAGACUCUUAAUCUGUGGGUUCUUGGUUCGAGUCCAAGGCAGCCCACCA
rnacentral:tRNA from 1 species